GCCAGCAUGGCAUAGUGGUAUGAGCAUUGGACUAGAGCUCAGGAGACCAGGGUUCGAAUCCCAGCUCACCCA